AGGGCUUCAGUCUUAUGCCACUCAUUUUUUAAGUGGGGGAGGAGGACUGGUGAGUACACAUUAAUAUGCGGCACAUAACCACAUCCCUGAAUGCCAGUCUUCCAUUCUUCAUUAAACAAAAAUGACUGGAUUACAGAGCUUGAUUUUCUCGUUACCCACUUACAUAGACACCCACUUUCAGGGCUGCUUUCUCAGCACACAUGCACACAUGCAACCUCAUUCACAUGCACCCAUGAACCUAUCCAAGACAGCAUAUCACAUGCUUUUGUCACUAUUGAGUUAUGUGUGAAAGUUGCCUGCUGCACACAUGACAAAUAAUGGGAUUCCAGCAUACACUGGGGCUUUCUUUUUUUUUAACCGUGCAGCAACAAGUGGCAGAAUCAAUGGAGUACAGUUAUUCAGCAAUGUAAUUCAUUUCACUGGCUUUGGCUUCUAGCCAGAUCCGCCAUCUGUCUCCAGCUCUCCCUCUCCCCGUCUCUCCCUCUCUUUCUCUUGAAUUUGUCCUACAUUCUGUAAUGUUACGUGCCUGCCAUCCUUGUCCUAUGCCAGAGGUACACUGCCAGCCUCACCCCUUUUCCGGAGAGGAGUUCUCUGACUUCAGUGACACUUGGGAUAUUCCACAUCAAUGCCAUGGAAAGACAAGGGUAAGCAAAACAACAACAACAAUAACAGCAACAACAACAACAACAACAGCAAAAGGAGUAAUUCAAUAGCAAUUAUUAUAAUUAUGAUGUUGUGGGAUCCAGUUGCUCCUGCUUCUGCUUCUAUCCAAAGCCCAGAGUCGGUUCUGCAUCAUCCAGGAAGUUUCCCUGCUUCUUUAGAAUAUCUUCGUUUUCUUUAUCAAAUGCUGGCACACCACGCCAGUACACCACUCCAUGGAAUGCCUGCUGUUGGACACUUACUUGCAGAGCUCUGCCACCACGCAACCUCCUGCACUGGAAAUCAGGCACUCCUCUUAGGAUCUUACUGUGCUUGCUGUUUGAAGCUGCAGAAAAGUGAAUAAUCAAUUAAGUAUUGAUUUCUUGUAAGAUUUGGUAAAUUUCAAAGGCAAGACAAAGAGGAUGGCUUAAGGAAACACUGCAGGGACUUGGCGUAAAUUAGACAACUAACGGAGAUGCAGAAUAAAAUAACACCUCAAGUGAAGAUUUCCUUGGAAGAAUUAGCACUAGCUAUUGGAAGACAAUGGUGGAUUUAAUCAAAACAGCAGGCAUGCAAGAAUUUCACCCGUGAACCAGAAAGAGGAGCUAAUUAUAACCACCUUUUUAAUGGAGCUAAUUUUACUGAAUGGAUGCAAAUGCGCUUUACAUAUGGAUGAAGAAACAAGCCUUUCAGCAUGAUCUUGGGAUCAUCUUAUCUGCUAAGCAUUGCAGCUCCUGUGCCCUUCCAUACAUUUUUAUUUCCAGAGAAGAAAAUGCAUGGAAGCCACGGUGAUGCAUCACUGCACUGGGCACACUUAUUUGGUCACUUCUGUGAGGCUGUUCACUCACAUAUAGAAACUGCAAUCUACCAUCCUGAAUCUUGGCAAGAACUCCUGCCCAGGAAUUUAAAGGCAGUUUCUGAAGCAGAGACCAUGAAGGAACUGAUUCCUAGCUUUCUCAACGUGUGUUUUUGUGCAACCAAGGACUAACUGCCCACAAAUGGAACUGCCCACAGUGACCUUGGUCCUUCUACAUCAAUCACUGAUCAAGAAAAUGUUCCAUAAAUAUGACGGCAAGCCAAUCUGAUGGGGGUUUCUUCUUCUUAUGCAACUCUAGUUUGUGUCAAGUUGAUGAAAUCUUACCAGCAUACCAAUUAACAGAAAAAUAGUCAAAGAAAGGAAAUAUGUACCAUCUGACUAAAGUGAGGAGCAUUAAGAACAGUACGGGGUCUUCACCUUCAACUUUUUCCAAUCUUCCAUCAAUACCGUCUAAAUUCUGUGGACAUUUUUUAAAAUCUUUUUCACACUGUUAAGUUACCUGAACAACAAUGUAGUCAAUAUGUCAUUGCUCUUGAACUCAAACCCAGUGUGACUACUCUAGAAUAUGUGCUAUAAAUACCAUAGAAUGUUUGGCAAAGGUAUACUUUCAUAAAUGUUCAGUGUUGAUGAUUUUAAAUUCCAUUCUUAGAUUUGUUGUUAAAUUUUGGAUACAGAACUUGUGGUUCAUUUACACGAUUGAGUACUACCCAGCUAUAAAAAAUAAGGACAUCAUAAAUUUUUCAGGCAAAUGGAUAGAACAGUAUCCAGACUAGCCAGUAUCAUCCUGAGUGAUGUAACCUAGGCACAAAAGAACAUGCAUGGUAUGUAUUCACUGAUAAAUGGACAUCAGCCAUAAAGCACAAAAUAUUCACAAUAGACCCCAUAGACCCAAAGAAGUCAGACAUUUUUAGAGGCUUGCAGAUAAAGAUAUAGGCCCCUCAGCUCCUUCUGUACCAUGCCUUCCUGGAUGCUGCCUUGUUCCAACCUUGAUGAUAAUGGACUGAACCUAUGAACCUGUAAGCCAGCCCAAUUAAAUGUUGUCUUUCAUGAGACUUGCUUUAGUCAUGGUGUCUGUUCACAGUAGCAGAACCCUAACUAUGACAGUAUUCAACCUCAACUGUUUUUCCACUAAUGAGUGAAAUAGUAGAGAAAGGACUGGAACCUGUACAAAAGCACAAAACUCAAACACAAGUAGGAUAUUAACAUUAUAUGAAAAACCUUAAAAUUUUGCAAAUUAUGAUCUUUUAAAGUUCUGUAGGGAAGCCUUCUGCAGUAUAGACAAUUGUUUGAGGAAACUACAAGAAACAUAUUGAGCAAGUAUUCUCUUCCUUUGGUAGGUUUUCACUUUUCAAAAAGUUUUGAAACUUGUUGCAGUAUUUCUGGAUUUAUGCAAAUGUGUACCAGAUAUGCUAAAGUCAUUGUUUCAAGUAAUAAACUUACAAUUCCUAAAUGAAAGUUUUUAUUUGGAAAUUAUCUCCUCUAAUUUUGCAUAG